CUGGCGGCGUGCUAUACAUGCAGUCGAGCGAACAGAUGAGAAGCUUGCUUCUCUGAUGUUAGCGGCGGACGGGUGAGUAACACGUGGGUAACCUACCUAUAAGACUGGGAUAACUCCGGGAAACCGGGGCUAAUACCGGAUAAUAUUUUGAACCGCAUGGUUCAAUAGUGAAAGACGGUUUCGGCUGUCACUUAUAGAUGGACCCGCGCCGUAUUAGCUAGUUGGUAAGGUAACGGCUUACCAAGGCGACGAUACGUAGCCGACCUGAGAGGGUGAUCGGCCACACUGGAACUGAGACACGGUCCAGACUCCUACGGGAGGCAGCAGUAGGGAAUCUUCCGCAAUGGGCGAAAGCCUGACGGAGCAACGCCGCGUGAGUGAUGAAGGUCUUCGGAUCGUAAAACUCUGUUGUUAGGGAAGAACAAAUUUGUUAGUAACUGAACAAGUCUUGACGGUACCUAACCAGAAAGCCACGGCUAACUACGUGCCAGCAGCCGCGGUAAUACGUAGGUGGCAAGCGUUAUCCGGAAUUAUUGGGCGUAAAGCGCGCGUAGGCGGUUUCUUAAGUCUGAUGUGAAAGCCCACGGCUCAACCGUGGAGGGUCAUUGGAAACUGGGAAACUUGAGUGCAGAAGAGGAGAGUGGAAUUCCAUGUGUAGCGGUGAAAUGCGCAGAGAUAUGGAGGAACACCAGUGGCGAAGGCGGCUCUCUGGUCUGUAACUGACGCUGAUGUGCGAAAGCGUGGGGAUCAAACAGGAUUAGAUACCCUGGUAGUCCACGCCGUAAACGAUGAGUGCUAAGUGUUAGGGGGUUUCCGCCCCUUAGUGCUGCAGCUAACGCAUUAAGCACUCCGCCUGGGGAGUACGACCGCAAGGUUGAAACUCAAAGGAAUUGACGGGGACCCGCACAAGCGGUGGAGCAUGUGGUUUAAUUCGAAGCAACGCGAAGAACCUUACCAAAUCUUGACAUCCUUUGACCGCUCUAGAGAUAGAGUCUUCCCCUUCGGGGGACAAAGUGACAGGUGGUGCAUGGUUGUCGUCAGCUCGUGUCGUGAGAUGUUGGGUUAAGUCCCGCAACGAGCGCAACCCUUAAGCUUAGUUGCCAUCAUUAAGUUGGGCACUCUAGGUUGACUGCCGGUGACAAACCGGAGGAAGGUGGGGAUGACGUCAAAUCAUCAUGCCCCUUAUGAUUUGGGCUACACACGUGCUACAAUGGAUAAUACAAAGGGCAGCGAAUCCGCGAGGCCAAGCAAAUCCCAUAAAAUUAUUCUCAGUUCGGAUUGUAGUCUGCAACUCGACUACAUGAAGCUGGAAUCGCUAGUAAUCGUAGAUCAGCAUGCUACGGUGAAUACGUUCCCGGGUCUUGUACACACCGCCCGUCACACCACGAGAGUUUGUAACACCCGAAGCCGGUGGAGUAACCUUUUAGGAGCUAGCCGUCGAAGGUCACAAAG
rnacentral:rRNA from 1 species